ensembl:processed_transcript A730017L22Rik RIKEN cDNA A730017L22 gene
GUGUAGACCUGCUCAAUGCCAGGGUCUUAGCGCGGAUGAGCAUCGCCUAGUCUACGGAGGCUCUUUGCUUUCCGCACCGCGCUACGACGAGUUAGCCAGUACCUCCUUACAGUGGCUGCCUGGCUCUGCUAGACAAGCUGACUGUGAAUUAGGGAAGGCUGAAAGAAGCUGAGGAGAAGGGCAAUCUUGUAGGAGGACCAGCAGUCUCAAUUAAUAUGGACUACCGAGAUCUCUCAAACACCGAACAGGCAGCAUACACAAGCUGAUAUGAGGCCCCCAACACACAUACAGUGGAGGACUGCCAGUUUCAGCCCCAGGUUACACAUUGAAAACAAUUUAAACAGAGACAGAAGACCACAAGUCCAGCUACUUGAAUAGAUGGAAGAUUUACACUGCAAAGAUAUUGCCAGAAUCAUUUCUUAGCAAUUUCCCCACUCCUGUGUUGGCCAGUACGGAUUACAUGAGAACUGGCCGCCUAUCGCUGGAUACAGAUGCACCAAUGAGGGUUAAAAACUUUCCGAGCGAAAAGUGGAACAGAAAGAAAAGAAUCUCCUAGCAUUUCCCCAAGGGUUCACUCUCCCGCCACACACACUCUCCAAAGGACCGCUACAGAUCCAACUCUAUGUCAGCUUCUUGGCUUUGUUGUAGAGGGAGUCCACUACUUUACUCCUGUUCUGAAUAGUUUCCAGAGCAGCUUCAUAAGUUUUAUCUACUAGGGGUUCAUCGAAAAUGAUCAGGACACCUUCCCCCUGGUCCAAAAUCCCAUGAAACUUUUUGUCAAGAAUCAUCUGUGAUAAUUUUCUUUCCACAUCGGCCUUGGAGAGUUUGAUGAGGCUAGAUAUAUGUUCAAUCUGGACUCGGGGAAAAAGACUCAAUGACCCGGAUCAGAUUCUGUUCCUGUAAGUUAUCGUACAACUUGGCCAAAUGUGUGCUGAUGAUUGGGUCGUCCUGGAGCUCUGCCCUGUAGUCUGUCAGGGCCUUUUCAAAAUCUGCCAGUGAUCUGUUCUUGCUAGCUUGAGCCACACAUUUCAAUGCUUCUGUCUGCCUCCCUGCACACCGAAGUGCAAGCUUUCUGCUCACCAAAGCCUGGACAUCUUCUGGGGUGUUGAGCAUGAUUCUGCACAGCAACAUCUACUUCAGAGAUGUGAUGGCCUUGGGGCUAUCAAUGGAGUCGUAGCCUUCGAAUGCCUCAUAGAAGUAUGAGUAUGCAGUUUUCCAGUCCUUCUCCUCNNNNNNNNNNNNNNNNNNNNNNNNNNNNNNNNNNNNNNNNNNNNNNNNNNNNNNNNNNNNNNUUCUAAAAGCUGUACUUCCACCAAAAGGGCUUUAUCAUCCAUCUUUUUCAACUCCCGAAGCAGCUGAGAACCCAAAUGCAAUGCUUCCUGGUACCUCUUGGUAUCAAAAUACAAAGACACCAGCCUUGCCUCCAAUGCUUGGCGUAAGAAAGUUCUUUUCUCUGAUUUGGCCCAUUCGAUGCACUCUAAACAUAGCUCGACCUCCUGCCCUGUAGCUGCUUCUAUAUCUAGAAACAGAUCAAGAAGAGACCGGACCAGACGAGCUGCUUUAGCUUUACUGAUGGAAUUCAAGAAAGGUGGUACAUACUUCAGGAGUCCUCCAAGCUCGUCAGCUUGUCCAGUCUUCGCCAGGAGAGAACCCAGUUCAAGGAUGCUCUGCUCUUUGACCUGGACUGCCUCCUCAUCAUUUUCUUGAUUGUCACGUUUCACGAUGGAGUGGAGGAUGUCGAUGGAGGCCUCCCAGAGGCCUCCGGGUCGGUGCUAAGUAGAGACUGGGCUCUCUGGAACUCCACCACCGCUGCGGCCGCCAUCUUACCACUCUCACACCGUCCCCGGCUGCCUCACACUGUCCCCGGCCGCCCUUUCUUUCUAUAAAUGACAAACAUACAGAUGAGGGAAAUGCAAACUUUCAUAAUAGCCUCAAAAAUACCUUGCAGUAAUGCUAACCAGGCAAGUCAGACUUAGAUAAUAAAAACUUUAAGGCAUUGAAGAGAUAAAUUGAAAUCACCAGAAGAUGGGAAGAUGUCCCGUGCUCACGGAUUAGUAGUAAAUUAAUAUUGCAAAAACAACCAUAAUACUCAAAGCGUUGUAAAGAUUCAAUGCAAUCUCCAUUAAAAUGUCAACACCGUAUUUACAUAAAUUUAAAAAAGCAAUCUUCAACUUUAUAAGGGAACACUGAUAGCUAAACAUACUGAAUGAUAAACGAACCACCCAGAUUUUUCAUUGUAUUACAGUGCUAUCAUAAUUAAAAUGACAUCAUAUUGGCAUAAAACCAGCCAUGUUGAUCAAUGGAAUGUAACUGAAGACAUGGCCAUAACUCACACACCUACAAACAGCUGAUUUUUUUUUUAUAAAGUAGAAAACAGGUACACACUGGAGAAAAGACAGCACCUUCAACAAAUGGUGCUGGUCAGACUAGACAGAUGCAUGUAGAAGAAUCAAAGCAACCCUGCAUGUGGAGGUUUGAUCUGUUGCUAUGUACUGUAAUGCUAAAUUCUAUACACAAAAGUCUAGUUGCCUGCAAAUGAAUUCUUGGAUUUACCAGCUUUUGUUGUGCAAAGCUUGUUCCUUAAUUUAAAACUAUUGAUUAAAUAAAAAUGGCUAGAGCUAAUUGCUGGAGGGAUUAGAGGUAGGUGGGAUUUGAGUUACCUGGUUUGGGGUUGGAGAGGAAGGAGAAAGGACAGGCAGGGCAGCGUGAGGAGGAAGCCACCAUGAGAGGAAAUGGGCCAUGAACACAUGGCCAGAAGCAGCAGCAAGCAUAGGGGAUACACUGCUGGGGGGAAGUAGCCAGGCCAGCAAUUAGAUUAGGGGUUACCUCCAAGUAGUUGUCAAAGCCAAAUAAAUUAACCAUAGUCUGAGUCUUAUUUAUUUGUAAGCUAGUUGGGGAUAAGUUUAAUUUGGUUCAAUUAUAACUGCACAAAACUAACUCCAGAUAGAUCAAGGACCCCAACAUAAGACUGGAUACCUUGAUUCUGAU